UACCAGCACCCCGAGUGGUCGGGACGAUUAUUGGGCCUAAAGCAUCCGUAGCCGGUUCUGCAAGUCCUCCGUUAAAUCCAGCCGCUCAACGGAUGGGCCGCGGAGGAUACUAUAGGACUAGGAGGCGGGAGAGGCAAGCGGUACUCAGUGGGUAGGGGUAAAAUCCUUUGAUCCAUUGAAGACCACCAGUGGCGAAGGCGGCUUGCCAGAACGCGCUCGACGGUGAGGGAUGAAAGCUGGGGGAGCAAACCGG
rnacentral:rRNA from 1 species